GUAUGGAGAGAACCUAGACAAUGUAAAGUGAAGAUAAAUCCACUCUUAAAUUCAAUUGUUUCAGGUCAUCACUUCAUCCUAAGACAACAUUACUCUCCAGACUGAGACAGCAUGUUACCAUCAGAUCUGAAGAAGGUUGCUCUUUGCCACUUGCAGCCACGCUGGUCAAAUAAGCUCAUUCUGCACCACAGAUCAGGAUGUGCUGUGGAAACUUCUCAACCUGGAAGAAAGAGCUGACUCGUGAUGGCUCCAAUCUAUGGAGGUUGUGCCAAGCAAAAUAAGUAACACAGACUGUUCGAGCAAUUCUCAACUACAGUGGAGUCUCUGAAGGAGCAUAGCUGGCUGGUACAACAUAGAGUACUUUAUCCUGUAUAUAAUUUGGGCAGAAACUCCAUGUAUCUCCCUUCACUGCUACAGCCUUAAAUGGAAGUAGCAGAGAAUGAGGGCCAAAUAUAUCCAGUUGAAAAUUAAAGUAUAUAUUACUACGACCCUUUCCAAUGGCAUACAUGUAUAUGCAUAAACAUUGCACACCUGUGCAAAUGUAUGUAACUGUUUAGACAUCUGAGUAGUUUUUAAUUUCAUAUUUGUGUAUGUGUAUAGGUAUAGCAGAUGAUCAUGCAUUUAUUGCAUCAUGAGUACCAACAAAGCAAAUUUCUUUUCCCAUGGGUAAAGAUUACUCAAAAAUCAGUGCUUCAUGCUUAGAUGAGCACACUGGAAAACACUGAAGAAAUGCUAAUCUGUUCUGUUCCGAAAACAGCAUUUGCAUGCACAUUCAGACUCACCUGAGGAUCUUAAAGACUAUGUUUAUCAAUUAAAUAUUGAGUCACGCCUUUGACAACCUGACAAAAACACAUAGGUAUUUUUAAAUAAUUUCAUUGUGGAUCAAAGGAGAAGGUGAGAAACUAACUACGUGUUUAAGGUCAUGACUAAAAGCAAAAAAGUCCUGGCCUGAACCAGGACCUUGCAAGAACAGUUUGGACACAGGUAGAUAGUCAGGACUUUCCGAGCACAUUCUGAAUGUUAUAAAUCCCCCUAAAAAGCACAGUGGAUGAUAUUCAGACGUGUACAAGUGUAACUGAACUGAUGACUGCAGCAUGAGGACUCUUGUUUAUUUUGAAAUGUGUAAUAGAGAGUAAAUAGGGAUUAAAGAUGGUCAGACAGAAAGUAUAGAGAAAACAUCUUAAAGCAUUUAGAAUAUAGCAAACUCAUUGUCUCCCCUGCACAAAAGACUAAUUCUUUUUUCCUCU
rnacentral:lncRNA from 1 species